rnacentral:rRNA from 1 species
UGUAGCCGGAGCGAAAGCGAGUCUGAAUAGGGCGCAUAGUUAGUAGGAUUAGACGCGAAACCUUGUGAUCUACCCAUGGGCAGGUUGAAGCUUUGGUAACACAAAGUGGAGGACCGAACCGGUUGACGUUGAAAAGUCUUCGGAUGACCUGUGGGUAGGGGUGAAAGGCCAAUCAAACUGAGAAAUAGCUCGUACUCUCCGAAAUGCAUUUAGGUGCAGCCUUGAGGUCGAGUGUCAUAGAGGUAGAGCUACUGAUUGGGCUAGGGGGCUUCAUCGCCUACCAAACCCUGACAAACUCCGAAUGCUAUGACAUAUACUCAAGAGUGAGGGCAUGGGUGCUAAGGUCCAUGUCCGAGAGGGAAAGAACCCAGACCAACAGCUAAGGUCCCUAAAUAUAUGCUAAGUUGAAACAACGCGGUUGGACUGCAUUGACAGCUAGGAUGUUGGCUUGGAAGCAGCCAUUCAUUUAAAGAGUGCGUAACAGCUCACUGGUCGAGCGAUAGGGCAUCGAUAAUAAUCGGG